GACGAACCGUGCGAACGUUAUUCGGAAUCAUUGGGCUUAAAGCGCGUGUAGGCGGAUUCGUGCGUCUGUCGCUGAAAUCCCCCGGCUCAACCGGGGAACGGGCGCGGAUACGGCGAGUCUGGAGGGGCAUAGGGGGACCUGGAACUUCCGGUGGAGCGGUGAAAUGCGUUGAGAUCGGAAGGAACGCCCGUGGCGAAAGCGAGGUCCUGGAUGCCUACUGACGCUGAGACGCGAAAGCCAGGGGAGCGAACGGG
rnacentral:rRNA from 1 species